rnacentral:rRNA from 1 species
CCUUGACUUAGUUGCCAGCAUUUAGUUGGGCACUCUAAGGUGACUGCCGGUGACAAACCGGAGGAAGGUGGGGAUGACGUCAAAUCAUCAUGCCCCUUAUGACCUGGGCUACACACGUGCUACAAUGGACAGAACAAAGGGCUGCGAGACCGCAAGGUUUAGCCAAUCCCAUAAAUCUGUUCUCAGUUCGGAUCGCAGUCUGCNACUCGACUGCGUGAAGCUGGAAUCGCUAGUAAUCGCGGAUCAGCAUGCCGCGGUGAAUACGUUCCCGGGCCUUGUACACACCGCCCGUCACACCACGAGAGUUUGUAACACCCGAAGUCGGUGAGGUAACCUUUAUGGAGCCACCGCCGAAGGUGGGACAGAUGAUUGGGGUGAAGUNGUAACAAG